UAAGUUCCUUGGAACAGGACGUCACAGAGGGUGAGAAUCCCGUGCUUGGCUGGCUGUCCCCGCCCACGUGAGGCGUCUUCGACGAGUCGAGUUGUUUGGGAAUGCAGCUCAAAAUGGGUGGUAAAUUUCAUCUAAAGCUAAAUAUUGGUGGGAGACCGAUAGCGCACAAGUAGAGUGAUCGAAAGAUGAAAAGCACUUUGAAAAUAGAGUUAAAAAGUACGUGAAAUUGUUGAAAGGGAAGCGCUUGAGACCAGACUUCGGUUAGGGGUGAUCAGCCGUCCUUCUGGGCGGUGCACUUGCCCCCCUCCGGGCCAGCAUCGGUUGAGGCGGCGGGAUAAAGGUCCCGGGAACGUGGCUCCUUCACGGGAGUGUUAUAGCCCGGGUGAAUGCCGCCAGCCUCGACCGAGGACCGCGCCCGCAAGGGUUAGGAUGCUUGGCAUAAUGGUCUUCAGCGACCCGUCUUGAAACACGGACCAAGGAGUCUAACAUCUAUGCGAGUGUUUGGGUGUCAAACCCUUGCGCGAAAUGAAAGUGAACGGAGGUGGGAACCCGCAAGGGCGCACCAUCGACCGGUCCUGAAGUCUUCUGAAGGAUCUGAGUAGGAGCAUAGCUGUUGGGACCCGAAAGAUGGUGAACUAUGCCUGAAUAGGGUGAAGCCAGAGGAAACUCUGGUGGAGGCUCGCAGCGGUUCUGACGUGCAAAUCGAUCGUCAAAUUUGGGUAUAGGGGCGAAAGA
rnacentral:rRNA from 1 species